rnacentral:lncRNA from 1 species
GGAGGAUGUAUAGAUUGCUAGACAGAGAGGUAGAACUCAUAAGGCUUCCAUGGUCAUUUUUUCAAAAUUGGGAAAGGUAGUAUGAGCUACUUUUACUACUUUAAUUCUAAUAAUGCCCUUUUUUUUCCUUUCUUUUUUUUUUUUUUUGCGGGGGCAGGGAGGUACCAGGGAUUAAACUCAGGGGCACUUGACCACUGAGCCACAUUCACAGCCUAUUUUUGUAUUUUAUUUAGAGACAUGGUCUCACUGAGUUGCUCAGCACUUCGCUUUUGCUGAGGCUUGCUUUGAACUCAUAAUCCUCUUGCCUCAGCCUACUGAGCCUCUGGAAUUAUAGGUGUGCGCCACCACACCAGGCUCUGAUAAUGCUUUGAAGGGAAAGAUUAUGCAUAUGUUAACGUUCCAGCUGAUUUUCACCUUCCGAUUAUUCAUUAUUGAUUUUUAAAAAUUUUGUGGUAUAAAUAGCAUGGAGUUCUCAGUCAUAGUAAAGUUAACAGUAUUGCAUAUAUUUGCAUAUAUUCUGAGAUGUUCAUUUUCACUGCUUCAGUUCCUAAAUGUAGGAAGGAUUUGUGAAGAGUAUUCACCAGUAUGAUGUAAAAACAUCACAUAUCUUUUUUAAAUCCUCAGCAUGGACUCUACAUGAAAAUAAAUUUCUUUUGCUUGUUUUUGUUUAAACUGUCAGUUUUUUAUGAGUGAU